rnacentral:rRNA from 1 species
GACGAACCGAGCGAACGUUGUUCGGAAUCACUGGGCUUAAAGGGCGCGUAGGCGGGCUGUCAAGUCUGGGGUGAAAUCCCGCGGCUCAACCGCGGAACUGCCUCAGAUACUGACGGUCUCGAGGGGGGUAGGGGCGAGCGGAACUGAUGGUGGAGCGGUGAAAUGCGUUGAUAUCAUCAGGAACUCCGGUGGCGAAGGCGGCUCGCUGGACCCCUUCUGACGCUGAGGCGCGAAAGCCAGGGGAGCAAACGGG